AUUGAACGCUGGCGGCAUGCCUUACACAUGCAAGUCGAACGGCAGCGGGGGAGAAGCUUGCUUUUCCUGCCGGCGAGUGGCGAACGGGUGAGUAAUACAUCGGAACGUGCCCUGUAGUGGGGGAUAACUAGUCGAAAGAUUAGCUAAUACCGCAUACGCCCUGAGGGUGAAAGUGGGGGACCGCAAGGCUUCAUGCUACAAGAGCGGCCGAUGUCUGAUUAGCUAGUUGGUGGGGUAAAGGCCUACCAAGGCGACGAUCAGUAGCUGGUCUGAGAGGACGAUCAGCCACACUGGGACUGAGACACGGCCCAGACUCCUACGGGAGGCAGCAGUGGGGAAUUUUGGACAAUGGGCGAAAGCCUGAUCCAGCAAUGCCGCGUGUGUGAAGAAGGCCUUCGGGUUGUAAAGCACUUUUGUCCGGAAAGAAAUGGCUCUGGUUAAUACCUGGGGUCGAUGACGGUACCGGAAGAAUAAGGACCGGCUAACUACGUGCCAGCCGCCGCAGUAA
rnacentral:rRNA from 1 species